AGGUUACAGGUGCUGCCGCUGCAA
rnacentral:siRNA from 1 species